CUCUCCUCGACGAGAAUGGCGAAUUCACAGAGAUCUUUCACCUCUUACAGACCAUGCAUGGUCAUCCCCCGUCAGACCUCAACCGUUGAAGAGUGUAUUGAGGGUUGCACUCGAAAAGAUCCGAGCGUCAUUCGAGCGUAGAUCCGAGAUUCAAACCCCUGUUCACUGCCUCCGAAAAAGGUGAACUUCAUUCCUUUCUUUUAUUUUUUCAGUUCUUGCAUGUAGUGUGUUUAUGUGCUUAGUCUGCUGUUUAGUUUAAUUGUCGUUAGGGUAUGCUUAUAUGAUGUAGUUUGUUGUUUCAUUUAGUUGUUUGUUGUUAGUUUGCUUUCUUUAUGCUUUAGUUUAGUUUAAGACAUGUUCGAAUGAGUUUGUCUUAUACUUGUAGCAUGCCUGUUUUAGUUUAAGUCUAUUCAUGCUUAAUCCUAAUUUUUUUUUUAGAACUUGUUUUGGUUUCAUGCUUGGACAACUGGAUGAAUAAUUUAAGUAUGGGAUUGAUUGGACAUUGCCGGUUUCUUAUAGGUUCAACUAUUUUAAUUUGGUUUAGGCAGUUGCUAUUUGGCUAAGUGUCUGUUAGUUUAAGUUAAGCAUUAGCCUGUUUCCUUUUGCCACUUUAACUUAAUCACUGUUGUAAUCUAUAUCUAGUCAAGUUAUUAGCAUAUGGUGUAACUUUAAUGUGGUUUAGUCCAUGAUUUAUUGAUAAGUUACAAGUUGACUGAGCUAUGUAAAAAAUUUCUAUCCAUUACAUGCCUAUUAUGACACUUCUAAGCCACUUGCAGUUUCGGAUGUUGCUUUCUCAGUGCCUUUUUUUUUUGCAGAUUAGAUAUUUCAUGAUUAGGGUAUUAAUAUGGCUCCCUUAUGUUUGUUCAAGAACAGAUCACCCUUUUGUUUGUCAUUAUUAUGAAAUGUGAUGAGCUUUCAUGUAGUUUUAAACUCAAAUGCAUCAGUUUGGGUGGUAGAAUUAAAUGUUCCCUCUCUUUUGUGAUCAUGAGCAUAAGCUUUUGUUUAGAGUUGAAUAGAGAUCUGUUUGGGUUCAAUUUUGCCUCUCCUUGUUCUCUUUUUCUAUGUGUACCACCUAGAAUUCCAUUAAUUCUUGUGGGAUGAUAGAAUCUGUGUUUGCCUGAAGUUAGUAUGCCAAACUUAAUCCUAGUCAUGCCUUAAUAACCUUUGAAGAAGUCACUAACAGAUUUAAGUAUGAUAUGAACUUGCCAUUUUGUAUAAACUAGUUUGUAGCUAUUGCUAAGUCUUUCAAACUGAUGAUAUCUUUAAAGGUCCCAAGAAAUUUUCUUCUCUUAUUUCUCACUUUUGUUUCAAUGUAGUUUGUUUCAGUUUCUAGUUUUGUGGCUGUUAGAUUUAUGGUUAAGUAAUCCUCAUUCUCUUUAGAUUCUGCUUUUCUUUUCUGUUUUCAUUAGAUUUCACUUUGUACGAUAAUGUGUGGUUCAUUUCUGCUCCUUGCUUUAAUUUAGAUUUAUUGUAUGAAGCAUGAUCCUAUUUUCAGUUCUGUGUAUUUUUCCACUUUGUGUAGAUUAGCUAAAUCUUGUUUGCAUUAGAGAAUUAGUUUGUCCUUUUCUAUCUAUGUGAAAAUGAGUUUUGCUGUUAAUAUGUUGUGCCCUUUUCCUCAGUUUAUUGCGAACGCUAAUGUUGACAGUAUUUAUAGCUCGAAAGCUCACUCUUUUUACCUUAUUUAUAGCUUUAAGAAAUUCAAAUCUAUCUUAAGAAUCUGUUAGCUUUCUCCCACGAGCUUCUUUUCCUUAGUGUGUUGUAAGAUGUGUUUAGUUUCAAAUGUAUUAGCAGACUUCUUGAGCUGCGAGGGAAGGUUGUUGUUUGUGUCGUUACAUUUGAGUCCUCUUUUGGUUUAGUGUCAUGCCUCGUUCAUGGUGUUUUAGAUUAAUUGGUUUUAAUUAAUUAGUUUUGGUUGUUAGACAUAAAAGCUAGCAUUGUUUCGGAUUUUUCCUGUCACUGUUCUGUUUUUCUUCCUAAAGACAUAGUUAGAUGUGUUCUUUUUUUAGAUCUCUUAUUAAAACUCAAGAUUUGAGUUUAAUCUUUGUUUGAUUCCUGCCUUUAGAGAAGCCACUGUUUCGUAUAGGUAUCUAAGUAGAUUUUUUUUAAUCAAGUUGUCUCUCAUUAAAGUUCUGUCUGUUCUGUCAUUUUGUUAAAAAUUUAAAAAACAUGUUCUGCUAACAAUAAGGAUUGCUACUUGAUUUAUCUUCCCCUCUUUUGUUAUUCAUUUAAAAUCAUGUCAUUGUUCUAAUUCUUUUAUUUUCCUUUCUUUUUUUCUUUUGCAUGACAUCCGGAGUUGCGAGGAGUCUCAAACGAGACUCAAUAUCAUUAGUAUAUCCAGGACACUGGCACUUCGUCCAUCUCAAGCAUCUCUCUUGCUCCCUUGUGGUAUUUCCGAACAAAAAAACACGAAAGGAAAUAAAUGGGAAAUACAGAACCCGCGUCUAUUCCUCCGCUCGCUCCUUUCCCUCGUCGGAGAAGAAAUAGCAUCUGUUGCAUUUUUAACUUGUCCGAAACUGACUGUUUUGUGCUUCUUAUUUUGUGACUGUUCGUGUGAUUCGACACUGUGACACUUAGUCUUGGGGGAUAGAUAUAGGCUUAUCAUUUUAGCGACUAUCAAACGUAAUAUUUUUCGAAGUUUCUUUUCUAGUUCGUUUUGUUGGAACGUUCGUUUUUCUUUUAUCCAAAUGGUUUAUAACAACCCGACUUUUAGUUCUCA